rnacentral:rRNA from 1 species
CCUACGGGGGGCAGCAGUGGGGAAUAUUGCACAAUGGGCGCAAGCCUGAUGCAGCCAUGCCGCGUGUGUGAAGAAGGCCUUCGGGUUGUAAAGCACUUUCAGCGGGGAGGAAGGCGGUGAGGUUAAUAACCUCAUCGAUUGACGUUACCCGCAGAAGAAGCACCGGCUAACUCCGUGCCAGCAGCCGCGGUAAUACGGAGGGUGCAAGCGUUAAUCGGAAUUACUGGGCGUAAAGCGCACGCAGGCGGUCUGUCAAGUCGGAUGUGAAAUCCCCGGGCUCAACCUGGGAACUGCAUUCGAAACUGGCAGGCUAGAGUCUUGUAGAGGGGGGUAGAAUUCCAGGUGUAGCGGUGAAAUGCGUAGAGAUCUGGAGGAAUACCGGUGGCGAAGGCGGCCCCCUGGACAAAGACUGACGCUCAGGUGCAAAAGCGUGGGGAGCAAACAGGAUUAGAUACCCGAGUAGUC